UUUUUUUUUUUUUUUUUUAUCUUUAUUUUUUCAAGGGAUUGACCUACUUUAAACUAAUUCCUAGUUAACCCAGUCCCACCAGCUAGUCUGGUUCGGUUCUGACAACAUGGGUCAAAGUGUACAUAAUGUAAUGGUCAUUGCACAACAUUAAAUUUUUAUUAUGUAACCAAACAAAGUAAAAGAACAUACAACGUCAUUGCAAUUGCAUUAUGACUUUGAUUAUGUCUUACCAAAUAUAGUCUUAACAACUAACAAAUUUCAACAACUACUGGACAUUUGAGGCCAAGAUGGAAAGAGAAAUGAUUCAAAGUUGGAACGUAAUGAUAAAAGUAUACAGCGUGGCAUAUUAACUCUUUUAAGUGAUGGAAUAAUUUGAUGCUAUGUUUAAAUAUCAAAAUUUGAAAUAAGGAAUUUAAAUUUUAUUUUAAUACAAAUUGUUGACAAAAUGUAGAUUCCAAAUAACAUCAUUAUACAUUAUUACUUUUAUUUAAUAAGAAUUCAUUUAUAAUAGAUUUCAAAUAACAUCAUUUUAUAAAGCAUUUCAAAUACUCACUCAAAUAAGAUUCUCUUUACAUUUAUGAGGCUAAUAUAAAUUCAUGACUCUAAUCAAUUAAAGAAAAUCUAAAUUUUAUCAAAUUCAAAUCUCAAAUUUUAAAUUCUCCAUCCAAAUAAAUGGCAACCAAGUUUCAUUGACCUUAUCAAAAUAAAUAUAAUUGCCGCCAGCAUUAUCAUAUCAUGGCAUGGCAUGAUAGAUGAACGGGCAGCUCAAAGAAUAAACAAGGCAUGGCAGAAUCAGUUACUUAAAAUUAAUCGCAGUCUAAGCAAGACAGAAAAGAUGGACAAUUACCCUUGGUAUGAUAAUAGCAAAAUUAACCUACAACAUAUGCACAGAUUUUUUUUUUUUUUUUCCCUAAGGGCUAAAAAGGAAAAGAAUGGAUUGAGCAGUGAACAUACUCGUUUGUUUCUUCAGCCAUCAA
rnacentral:misc_RNA from 1 species